UGCCCAGCAACUCCUAUCCCUACCACCACGCGGUACCGGCCGGAAACUAUGAGCAACCUUUGGGAAGA
rfam:Aedes albopictus isolate Foshan contig88336, whole genome shotgun sequence.